AGCAGCCGCGGUAAUUCCAGCUCCAGUAGCGUAUAUUAAAGUUGUUGCAGUUAAAAAGCUCGUAGUUGAAUUUCGGGAUCAAGGAAUCGGUCAUGCCUCGGUAUGUACUGGUUUUAUUGGUUCUCACCUUCUAAAGAACCAUAAUGUCAUUCAUUUGAUGUUAUGGGGAAUUAGGACUGUUACCCUGAAAAAAUUAGAGUGUUUAAAGCAGGCUCACGCUUGAAUACAUUAGCAUGGAAUAACGGAAUAGGACGUUUGAUUCUAUUUUGUUGGUUUCUAGGAUCGACGUAAUGAUUAAUAGGGAUAGUUGGGGGCAUUAGUAUUCAAUUGUCAGAGGUGAAAUUCUUGGAUUUAUUGAAGACUAACUACUGCGAAAGCAUUUGCCAAGGAUGUUCUCAUUAAUCAAGAACGAAAGUUAGGGGAUCGAAGACGAUCGGAUACCGUCGUAGUCUUAACCAUAAACUAUGCCGACUAGGGAUCGGAUGAUGUUAAUUUUUUAAUGACUCA
rnacentral:rRNA from 1 species